GCACCACGAGGAGUAUAUUAGUCGUGGUGUAAGUCCCCUUCUAUGGGAAAUUCGAUGAUCUUAACACGUAAAGGGGACUUACACCACGAGGAAUAUAUAGACAGUUUUAUAGUGUUUUUUUAGUCAGAUUCUUUUGAUUUAUUGAUAAACUAUAACAGCGAAUAUUCUUUUAACAUCUCUAGGUAACUGUCUGAAAGUGGCAGUGUGGUCUUGAAGAGGAGGGAAAUGAGGGGUAUAUAAUAUCAACGGGUUAAUUGCCGUAUCGUAUUAAUUUCGGAGGGGGGACUCGCACCACGAGGAGUAUAUUAGUCGUGGUGUAAGUCCCCUUCUAUGGGAAAUUUGAUGAUUUUAACACGUAAAGGGGACUUACACCACGAGGAAUAUAUAGACAGUUUUAUAGUGUUUUUUAGUCAGGUUCUUUUGAUUUAUUAAUAAUCUUUAACAGCGAACAUUAAUUUAACAUCUCUAGGUAACUGUCUGAAAGUGGCAGUGUGGUCUUGAAGAGGAGGGAAAUGAGGGUAGAUAAUAUAUCAACGGGUUAAUUGCCGUAUCGUAUUAAUUUCGGAGGGGGACUCGCACCACGAGGAGUAUAUUAGUCGUGGUGUAAGUCCCCUUCUAUGGGAAAUUUGAUGAUUUUAACAUGUAAGGGGGACUUACACCACGAGGAAUAUAUAGACAGUUUUAUAAUGUUUUUUAGUCAGAUUCUUUUGAUUUAUUAAUAAACUUUAACAGCGGAUAUUAAUUUAACAUCUCUAGGUAUCUGUCUGAAAGUGGCAGUGUGGUCUUGAAGAGGAGGGAAAUGAGGGGUAGAUAAUAUCAACGGGUUAAUUGCCGUCUCAUAUUAAUUUCGGAGGGGGGACUC